AAGACCCACCACAGAAGGUAAUAGUCCUGUAUGUUAAACGAGAAGACUUUAGAUAUGAUCCAGAGUACCACGGGACACGUGAAACCCUGUGGGAAGCAGGAGGGACCACCCUCCAAGGCUAAAUACUACCUAGUGACCGAUAGCGUAUAGUACCGUGAGGGAAAGGUGAAAAGAACCCCGGGAGGGGAGUGAAAUAGAACCUGAAACCCUGCACUUACAAGCUGUGGAAGCACAUUUCUUGUGUGACCGCGUACUUUUUGUAGAACGGGCCAACGAGUUACGUUAAGUAGCAAGGUUAAGCACUUAAGGUGCGGAGCCGUAGCGAAAGCGAGUUUUAACUGAGCGUUCAGUUACUUGACGUAGACCCGAAACCGGGCGACCUACCCAUGAGCAGGAUGAAGCGAAAGUAAAAUUUCGUGGAGGUCCGAACCCACGAGCGUUGAAAAGCUCGGGGAUGACUUGUGGGUAGCGGUGAAAUUCCAAUCGAGCCCGGAGAUAGCUGGUUCUCCCCGAAAUAGCUUUAGGGCUAGCCUCAAGGUGAGAGAUACGGAGGUAGAGCACUGAAUGUCCUAGGGGGUAUUGCACCUACCGAAGACUAUCAAACUCCGAAUGCCGUCAUCUUAUACUUGGGAGUCAGACUGUGGGUGAUAAGAUUCAUAGUCGAAAGGGCAACAGCCCAGAUCGUCAGCUAAGGUCCCUAAAUGUAAGUUAAGUGGUAAAGGAUGUGGGAUUGCACAGACAACCAGGAUGUUGGCUUAGAAGCAGCCACUCAUUCAAAGAGUGCGUAAUAGCUCACUGGUCGAGUGAUCCUGCGCCGAAGAUUUCCGGGGCUAAAACUUACUACCGAAGCUACGGCAUCAGUAAUGAUGGGUAGGGGAGCUUCCCAUACGGGUUGAAGCAUGACCGUAAGGACAUGUGGACAGUAUGGGAGUGAGAAUGUUGGCAUGAGUAGCGAGAUGUGGGUGAGAAUCCCACAGGCCGUAAACCCAAGGUUUCCAGGGGAAGGUUCGUCCGCCCUGGGUUAGUCGGGACCUAAGCUGAGGCCGAAAGGCGUAGGUGAUGGACAACAGGUUGAUAUUCCUGUACUACCGAUAACCGUUUGAGAGAAGGGAUGACACAGUAGGAUAAGCUAAGCACACUGUUGGUUAUGUGUGCCCAAGCAUUGAGGCAGUCAAAGUAGGCAAAUCCGCUUUGAUAAUGCUGGGAUGUGAUGGGGAGCGAAAUUUAGUAGCGAAGUAGCUGAUUUCACACUGUCAAGAAAAGUCUCUAUCGAGGUUAAAGGUACCCGUACCGCAAACCGACACAGGUGGGUGAGGAGAGUAUCCUAAGGCCAGCGAGAGAACUGUUGUUAAGGAACUCGGCAAAAUGACCCCGUAACUUAGGGAUAAGGGGUGCCACCAUCAGGUGGCCGCAGAGAAUAGGCCCAAGCGACUGUUUACCAAAAACAUAGGUUUCUGCUAAGUCGCAAGACGAUGUAUAGGAGCUGACGCCUGCCCGGUGCUGGAAGGUUAAGGGGAUCUGUUAGAGCAAUCGAAGCAGUGAACUUAAGCCCCAGUAAACGGCGGCCGUAACUAUAACGGUCCUAAGGUAGCGAAAUUCCUUGUCGGGUAAGUUCCGACCCGCACGAAAGGCGUAACGAUUUGGGCACUGUCUCAACAACAGACUCGGUGAAAUUGUAAUUCCGGUGAAGAUGCCGGAUACCUGCGACAGGACGGAAAGACCCCAUGGAGCUUUACUGUAGCUUGACAUUGGGUCUUGGUACUACAUGUACAGGAUAGGUGGGAGGCUUUGAAACCAGGACGCCAGUUUUGGCGGAGCCAUCCUUGGGAUACCACCCUUGUAGUACUGGGACUCUAACCAUAGGCCAUGAAUCUGGUCUUGGGACACUGUCA
rnacentral:rRNA from 1 species